rnacentral:rRNA from 1 species
UACGUAGGGUGCGAGCGUUAAUCGGAAUUACUGGGCGUAAAGCGUGCGCAGGCGGUUUUGUAAGCCAGAUGUGAAAUCCCCGGGCUUAACCUGGGAAUGGCAUUUGGGACUGCAAGGCUGGAGUGCGGCAGAGGAGACUGGAAUUCCUGGUGUAGCAGUGAAAUGCGUAGAUAUCAGGAGGAAUACCGAUGGCGAAGGCAGGUCUCUGGGCUGACACUGACGCUCAUGCACGAAAGGCGUGGG